AUCUCAGCAGCACGGCUUGACUUUCGGGCGGCAGGCAAGGAUGCUAAUCCACAAGGUUCCUGAGUCCAACAUCCCUCCCUCCAAUGUGGGGCUCGAAUCCGCUAUUGCAACCAAACCCGGGUUCUGCCCGCAGGGUGGCGCAAUGACAAGAGCCACCAGGUGACCCUGGUAACUCCCGCACCUAGGCCUGGAAAAGGCCAGUCCUGUGCAGUGUGGCCUUAGGGCAUCUACAGCUCUGGACAGAGGGAGAAGGUCCAAGUCCCUGCUUCCUGCUGAGGGGACGGCUAAGGAAGAGAAACUACCUUAAUGGUGACCUUAUUCUAUUCUAGUUCUCUCUCUCUCUCUCUCUCUCUCUCUCUCUCUCUCUCUCUCUCUCUCUCCUCUCUGUCUCCCUCCCUCUUCCCUCUCUGUCUGUCUCUCUCUCUCUCUCUCACUGUGUGUGUGUGUGUGUGUGUGUGUGUGUGUGUGUGUUGUGUCGAUGGAGAGCUAGCUGCCAUUGCCUGCUGAACUCUCUCCAUAUUUUAACCAUUACCUGCCAAGAAAGGCCCUUCCCUGCACAUCUGCAGUGGCAAUCCUUUCCCUUGGGGAUCCCUCCACUCAGGGUCCCACCUCUUGGAAAGAAGCUGUCUUAGAGGCAUAAAGAACCCUGCUAGCUAGUGCACCAUCCAUCCCAGCAAAAGAAGGCUUAGCGGCAGAGUUGAGAACGGAGACCAGGCCUACAUCCUCUCAGGACCUGACCCCUAAGGUCUCAGGUCCCAACCCUCUGAGCCUCCAUGGACCCAUGCUGUCAGACCAGCAGGCCUUAACAGAGACCUCCACGUUUCUAAGAAAGCACAAACCUGAGUUUGUAUUGGGCAUUCCAGGUUCUCUGGGCAGCUCUUCCUGGUCCUCACCCAUUGUGGAUAUACUCACGUCUGAUCCCCAGACUGCUCGGACGAUGGAAGAAAGGAGGCCUACAGGAGCAGUUUUUCUGCAGCACCACAUCUGUAGCCCUGCAUGCCGCUGGCUCCAGUGUUGUGUGUGUGGUCAUGCUCCAUCCAGCCCAGCAGCAACUUUGGUGUUUGACACCCCUCGGGAGGCACCGCUUUGGAAGAGACUGGUAACAGCAGGGUGGGACCGGCUACUUAGCUGUUCUCAGUCUGAAAGGAUUCUGGAAAGGGGCUCUAUUUAACCCAAGCACUGGAGUCCAACACAGCCUCUGCCGUGUGACAGGUGUGUGCGGAGCCCAAGAUGUGUUGGGAACAGCUAUCGUUUCUACUGCUUUGUCCCAUGCCUCUGGAGCUCCUGGGUUCCUGAACUUCAAGCUGGGCCCCAUCCUUCACCCUAUCAGGGCCCUGGGUGGAGCUGACUUCCAACAGUAUACAGUGGGUCUUGGUACUUCCUCCUUGGCAUUCGACAGUUGGUGUUUUUGAAGUCAGAGCCAUCCUCAGUAGGCUCCUAGGGGAUCGUAAGCGGCUUUCUCUGGGUGGAAACCUACUCCAUGCAGCCUUCAGCAAAGGUACCAGCAUCUGUCACUGGGAUGGGGAAGUCCGGUGAUCGUGUCAGCAUGGGCUACGGUGGACGGGGAAAGGCUCGUUCUGACACUAGACACCUGGGUCUCUAGCCCUAUGCCUGGAUUUGUCUGGGGAACUCUGCACCACACUGAUCCUGGCUUUCCCCAUUACCUGCUCCAUGCCAGGAUCCUACGGCUGUUGAUCCCCUCGGAAGUGAGACAUAAUGUCCCGGAGCAGAUGCUGAUGGGGACUCACUGUUGGGCCACCUGAUUUCUGUGUUCAUCUUCCCAGGCUCCACCUUUCAGAUCCCAUCCCUGGUGUCUGCAGUUACAACUUUACUAACCAGAACUUUGUUUCCAGCUUACGCUGAAAAGCAAAGGGUGACUUAGAAUAAAAAUGUAACAAAUAGCCCCAUAGCCCAAACCUUUUCUGCCAUGAUUUACUGUACCAGAUACCUAUAAGUGUCCAGGGCAAAUUAAACACAUCAAUAAAUGGCUUUCUUGUGUCU
rnacentral:lncRNA from 1 species